rnacentral:rRNA from 1 species
CCUACGGGAGGCAGCAGUGAGGAAUAUUGGUCAAUGGGCGAAGGCCUGAACCAGCUAAGUCGCGUGAGGGAAGACGGUCCUAUGGAUUGUAAACCUCUUUUGUCGGGGAGCAACGAAGCCACGUAUGGCCUAAGUGAGAGUACCCGAAUAAAAAGAAUCGGCUAACUCCGUGCCGGCAGCCGCGGUAAUACGGAGGAUGCGAGAGGUAUCCGGAUUUAGUUGGCUUAAGGGGAGCGUAGUCGGGCGUUCCAGUCAUCUGUAAAAUCGCGCGGCUAAACCGGGCACCGCAGUUGAAAAUGGACGCCUUGAGUGCACAACAGGCAGGCGGAAUUCGUGGUGUAGCGGGGAAAUGCAGAGAUAUCACGAGGAACCCCGAUUGCGAAGGCAGCCUGCCGGGGUGCGACUGACGCUGAGGCUCGAAGGUGCGGGUAUCAAACAGGAUUAGAUACCCUGGUAGUC